UACUAUAGCUUGACACUGAACAUUGAGCCUUGAUGUGUAGGAUAGGUGGGAGGCUUCGAAGCGUGGACGCCAGUCUGCGUGGAGCCAACCUUGAAAUACCACCCUUUAAUGUUUGAUGUUCUAACGUUGCCCCGUUAUCCGGGGUGCGGACAGUGUCUGGUGGGUAGUUUGACUGGGGCGGUCUCCUCCCAAAGAGUAACGGAGGAGCACGAAGGUUGGCUAAGCAUGGUCGGACAUCAUGCGGUUAGUGCAAAGGCAUAAGCCAGC
rnacentral:rRNA from 1 species